GUUUUUGAAGCUGCGCUUAAAGACUUCAGUUCAGUCACAGGAAAGCUGCAAGAUUCUGGAGCUGUCACCAGGGAGAGUCUAACCAAGAAUGAACAGCUGCUUAUCCCCUACUACCUGGAAGCCAUCUUGCUAAGGCUUCUGCAGCAGCCUGGAGUGGUCACUAAGAAGACUAAGUUAAGGAAUGGGAAGGGAAAAUUCACAACGAGGCCGGUGUUUCUAUUGCUGUGAAGAAGCCUAAAACAACUGCAUUACAAAUAGCAGAAGUGCCACUGUAGGACAAAAUGAAACUUGUAAGUUUAAAUAGGAAUCUAAAUCAUAAAGCCAUAAUAGCAAGUUAAAUAUAAUGUAAAUUUACUGGUUCUUUGGUUUCUCUUGCACUUCAGUGAGGUGUGGCCAGUGAUGUGUCAGCCAGCUCAUUUUUUGUGUCGAGCACCGGGAGACCAAUUUAUAAACCAUCAAAUGAUUUUAAAAAGGCUUCAAUACAGGUGACAGAACACUUAUAU
rnacentral:lncRNA from 1 species